rnacentral:rRNA from 1 species
AUAUCCGGCAUCGAGGAUAGAUGAAAGGUGGCCUCUACAUGUAAGCUAUCACUGAAGGAGGGGAUUGCGUCUGAUUAGCUAGUUGGAGGGGUAACGGCCCACCAAGGCGAUGAUCAGUAGCCGGUCUGAGAGGAUGAACGGCCACAUUGGGACUGAGACACGGCCCAGACUCCUACGGGAGGCAGCAUG